GGGGCUGAUAAAAGCUUUCGACAGAUGGAAUUUAACAAAUCAAUCGGCGAGCUGUUGGUCACAUAUAAACCAUUCUAGAUGUAAAAUCUAAACUUCAAGCGAUUGCUGACAGUGUAAAACUUGCUUUUGCACCGAAAGCUUACGCGCUAGCUGCUUAAUUUUUGGUAGCCAUGUCUUUGUCUGACGCAAUAUAAGAUAAAGACGUGUCAUAUUCAUAUUGCUCUGACACUGCGGAAGCUCCGCAUUUCGUGAUGUCAAGAUCUUUUGCGGACGAUUUAUUACUUUUUUGUUAAUUUCAAAUGUUGUAAAUCGUAUUUCGAAAUUAACUAGGCUUCGUAGAUGAUUGGUGUGUUACCAUUUGGACGCGGGGGCAGUGCCCGCCAGCUCCACCA
rnacentral:tmRNA from 1 species